rnacentral:rRNA from 1 species
AUGGCGGAGAGGGUGAUGAGGCUGGCGUCGCAGCGCGCCGUGGUGAUCUUCGGGGCGAGCAACUGCUGCAUGUGCCACGCGGUGAAGACGCUCUUCACCGAGAUGGGCGUGAGCUGGACGGUGCACGAGCUGGACAAGGACCCCCGCGGGAAGGACGUCGAGAGGGCGCUCGCCGGCAUGGUUGGCCAGAACCCACCUGUGCCGGCCGUCUUCAUCGGCGGCGCGCUCGUUGGCCCCAUCGACAAGGUCAUGUCGCUGCACCUCGGCGGCCAGCUGGUGCCGCUCCUCCGCCAAGCCGGUGCCCUCUGGCUCUGA